GUAGUAGACAAUGAAACAUUUGAAUGCAGAUGGGAGACAAAACUUAAACGGUUACUCUGCCAAUUGGUGUAUGUUGCAUACUUCUUAGAUAAUAAUUAACAUGAUUGCAAUAACAUAAUUUAAAAUGGUAGCAUUCUUUUUGGAAGACCGUGUGUAAUCUGCUCUUAAAUUUAUAUUUUAUCAUUCUAAUGGAAACAGAAAUGUUAUGAAUUUUUGUAUUGAUAUUUAAUUUUUUUGUUACUUUUUUGACAUAAUUUAUUUCCAGUGUGAAUCAAUUAUUGAAGAUUUCGAAGAUGACAUCAUCAAAGUAUUCAAGUCUCCAAAAGUGGAUAUAGAGGAAGCCAUUCAGAAAGUUUGCUUAGAGAGUUCUCAGUUUUGCGUGGAAGGGGAAGAAGAAGAGAAUUUAGAAGAGGAAGAAUAUCACACGGAAUUGUAAUCGAUACGUCGGUUUUGUUUGAAAGGACUAGAUUCUCGUAUAAUCCCGAUCUUCGAACGAUACGAAAGGAUCUAAGGAUCGGGUUUUCACUUCCCAAUUCAAAGUUUAUCGUCUGUGGUCUUCCCCAAUUGAAAACGAGAAUCGACUCCGUUAUAAUAUUUUUGGCAUAAGAUGGGAUGAUGAAUGCAUUUUCUCUUAAUCUAUGGACGUCACCUCUGCACCUCUUUAUACUUAAAUUAUUUAACGAGAAAUCAUCAUUCGUCAUUAAUCAUCGGUGGUCCCAAUAAAUUUUUAGAUUUGUUAAA